rnacentral:rRNA from 1 species
ACUGGCAGGCUAGAGUCUUGUAGAGGGGGGUAGAAUUCCAGGUGUAGCGGUGAAAUGCGUAGAGAUCUGGAGGAAUACCGGUGGCGAAGGCGGCCCCCUGGACAAAGACUGACGCUCAGGUGCGAAAGCGUGGGGAGCAAACAGGAUUAGAUACCCUGGUAGUCCACGCCGUAAACGAUGUCGAUUUGGAGGUUGUGCCCUUGAGGCGUGGCUUCCGGAGCUAACGCGUUAAAUCGACCGCCUGGGGAGUACGGCCGCAAGGUUAAAACUCAAAUGAAUUGACGGGGGCCCGCACAAGCGGUGGAGCAUGUGGUUUAAUUCGAUGCAACGCGAAGAACCUUACCUGGUCUUGACAUCCACAGAACUU